rnacentral:rRNA from 1 species
AUUGAACGCUGGCGGCAGGCCUAACACAUGCAAGUCGAGCGGGGUUUUCGGACCUAGCGGCGGACGGGUGAGUAAUGCGUAGGAAGCUACCCGAUAGAGGGGGAUACCAGUUGGAAACGACUGUUAAUACCGCAUAAUGUCUACGGACCAAAGUGUGGGACCUUCGGGCCACAUGCUAUCGGAUGCGCCUACGUGGGAUUAGCGAGUUGGUGGGGUAAUGGCUCACCAAGGCGACGAUCCCUAGCUGGUUUGAGAGGAUGAUCAGCCACACUGGAACUGAGACACGGUCCAGACUCCUACGGGAGGCAGCAGUGGGGAAUAUUGGACAAUGGGGGAAACCCUGAUCCAGCCAUGCCGCGUGAGUGAAGAAGGCCUUCGGGUUGUAAAGCUCUUUCGGCCGGAACGAAAUCGCACGGGUGAAUAUCCCGUGUGGAUGACGGUACCGGAAUAAGAAGCACCGGCUAACUACGUGCCAGCCGCCGCAGUAACAC